rnacentral:hammerhead_ribozyme from 1 species
AUCCAUCUGAUGAGUCCUAAAUAGAACGAAACGCGCCUCGUGGAU